rnacentral:rRNA from 1 species
UACAUGGGGUGCAAACGUUGCUCGGAAUUAUUGGGCGUAAAGCGCGCGUAGGCGGUUACUCAAGUCGGAUGUGAAAGCCCUCGGCUUAACUGAGGAAGUGCACCCGAAACUGAGUAGCUAGAGUACUAAAGAGGGUCGCGGAAUUCCCGGUGUAGAGGUGAAAUUCGUAGAUAUCGGGAGGAACACCGGUGGCGAAGGCGGCGACCUGGGUAGAUACUGACGCUGAGGCGCGAAAAGCGUGGGGAGCAAACAGG